rnacentral:rRNA from 1 species
GACGUAGGGCGCGAGCGUUGUCCUGAUUUAUUGGGCGUAAAGAGCUCGUAGGCGGCUUGUCGCGUCGUCCGUGAAAACCCGGAGCUCAACUCCGGACCUGCAUCCGAAACUGCCCGACUAGAGGUAGGUAGGGGAGAUCGGAAUUCCUGGUGUAGCGGUGAAAUGCGCAGAUAUCAGGAGGAACACCGGUGGCGAAGGCGGAUCUCUGGGCCUUACCUGACGCUCAGGUGCGAAAGCUAGGGGAGCGAACAGG